AGCACUAUUAUAUUGUUUUUUUUUUUCGUAUUUCGUGGCUGUUUAGUACUUUACUUAAAAUUAAUGUUUAAAUUAGGCACUUUUAGCUCGGAGAUUUUGCAACACUAGAUUUAUCCCACGCUUGGCGUCAUUUUUAAUUUGUUCCAGAUCUUACUUUAGCUUUUCGGAUAAAUUACGCAGUUUCUCUUAAUAAACAGGAAAGAACUGCAGGCAAUUAACUGUGGAAUAUAAGCGACAGUCAUGAAGACGCCAACGCUGAACGAUCUAACGGAGGAUUUCCGCGAGUCUUCGCUGGAAUCAUCUGAUGACAAUAACUCUUUUAACGGCGACUUGGACUCGGGAGAAGUGUGUGCAGCCAGCGAUCAAAAUAAAAGGGUGCAAAUGUAUGAGCAGAGAAAGAUCUCAGAUUUAGAGGAAAGGCUAACAAAUUCUGAGAAAGACAAGAUCAGUCUUCAUGAAGCUCUAAUAAGGGAGAAGGACGAUGUUAUAAAAUCACUUCGAUUCUCAAUUGACUUGAUCACUGAAACAAAGGAAUUCAGCAUUAAGCAAAUGAAAAGUCAAAUUUAUGAUUUGCAGAAUGCAAUUGACUUUAAAAACUCAUUAAAUUUAAACAAUGCUCAAGGAGUAACUACAUGUUUUGGCCCAAAAGAUGAGGGCAAUAAUUUUAUUAAUCCAAAAUCCAAUCAUAAUGAACUGCAAGCGUUGCAAAAUAAAAUGGAAUCACUCGAGAUAACUAAUAGAAAAGAUAAGGAACUUAUUGCCGAGUUGGAAUCAAAAAUUAAAGUCGAAAACGCCGAAAUUGAAUUGAAAAUAAAGGAAAAGGAUUCUAAAAUGGAGGAUUUAAAAAAAAAUGACGAUUGUUUGAGAGCUCGAAUAGCUGAGCUAGAAAAUAAGGUUAGCAUUAUCUCUGCUGAGCUAAAAGAAAAAGAAAAUCAACUGUCUCAGUACACUUUAAGUGACAGAAUCUGCCGAAAAAAAACAACAAAUUUUGCCGCUUAACUAUACAAAAAACCGCAAAAUAAAGGUGGUUGAAAGAAUUGGAUUUGAACCCUAUAUGGCACUAUUCGAAGAUAUUCCAUCUGCUGGUUCGGAUUGGCUUGUGAUUCAGCGCCGCAUCGAUGGAAAGCUGAAAUUUAAUCAAGCUAAUGGGAAAUCGGCAUUUGAAAAUGGCUUUGGUGACCUAAACAAAGAGUUCUGGCUUGGUUUUGAAUUACUACAUCAAAUUACAAAAAUACAAAGGCAUGAGCUAUAUAUAGAACUAGUAGACUUUGAUGAUGUAACCGCAUAUGCCAGAUAUGAUCACUUUGUAGUCGGAAGCAAAGUUGAGGAGUACAUGUUAAAAUCUCUUGGAUCCUAUUCGGGAAACGCUGGCGAUGCUAUGCGCAGUCUUGAGAAAAAAAAAAUCGUCGAAUGGACGUAUGUCGACAAAUCAACCUAUUUUUGGUGGUAUACAUUGAAAUUGCAAUGCAACCUGAAUGGCUCCUAUUAUUCCAAUUUAACAAAGUUGAAUUCGAACUUCGGCAUUUGGUGGGGAAGUUGGAAUUUAGGAAAAUCACGACAUUCCCUAAAGUCAUGCAAAAUGUUGAUAAGGCCGAAGGCAGCAGUAAAAAAUAGUUAAAAGACUUAAUUUGUCUUUAUCUAAACUAUCUUUCCUAAUAGCCUGAACAAUGCGAACACUUGUUUAUUUUUUCUUUUUGUGUUAAAAAUUAAUUUUAUUGUGAAACUGCAUAAAAAACAAGGCUGCAAAAAGUUAAUGUAGAAAAUAAUGUACAAGUUUUGUGUUUUUUAUGUAUGACCAUUUAAAUGUGUUCAA